rnacentral:rRNA from 1 species
AGUGAACGCUGGCGGUAGGCCUAACACAUGCAAGUCGAACGGCAGCACAGUAAGAGCUUGCUCUUACGGGUGGCGAGUGGCGGACGGGUGAGGAAUACAUCGGAAUCUACUUUUUCGUGGGGGAUAACGUAGGGAAACUUACGCUAAUACCGCAUACGACCUACGGGUGAAAGCAGUGGUUCUUCGGACCUUGCGCGUUUGAAUGAGCCGAUGUCGGAUUAGCUAGUUGGCGGGGUAAAGGCCCACCAAGGCGACGAUCCGUAGCUGGUCUGAGAGGAUGAUCAGCCACACUGGAACUGAGACACGGUCCAGACUCCUACGGGAGGCAGCAGUGGGGAAUAUUGGACAAUGGGCGCAAGCCUGAUCCAGCCAUACCGCGUGAGUGAAGAAGGCCUUCGGGUUGUAAAGCCCUUUUGUUGGGAAAGAAAAGCAGCAGGUUAAUACCCCGCUGUUCUGACGGUACCCAAAGAAUAAGCACCGGCUAACUUCGUG